rnacentral:rRNA from 1 species
AUAUCAAUAAGCGGAGGAAAAGAAACCAACUGGGAUUGCCUCAGUAACGGCGAGUGAAGCGGCAACAGCUCAAAUUUGAAAUCUGACUCUCACGGGUCCGAGUUGUAAUUUGUAGAGGAUGUUUCGGGUGCGAUCCGGGCCUAAGUUCCUUGGAACAGGACGUCAUAGAGGGUGAGAAUCCCGUAUGCGGCCAUGGUUCAACCCCGUGUGAAACUCCUUCGACGAGUCGAGUUGUUUGGGAAUGCAGCUCAAAAUGGGUGGUAAAUUUCAUCUAAAGCUAAAUAUUGGCCAGAGACCGAUAGCGCACAAGUA